AUAUAUAUAAGAGUGAGGGAUGUUAAAAAAUUUAGUCGCCCCACUUUUCAGUCUUAACCAGUCACUAGAUCAGUUUCUCUUCUUAAACUGCGAUUCACAUAGUCAGCAUCGUGAUCAGUAUCAGACAGUCAAUCAGUGAGUUCGGACGGUAGAAUUUUGUCUUGUGUAACGUUAUCCUAUUCUGUGAAGCCAACUGUGCCAACGAACAGAGAACGGUAUUUUCGGUGUUUUGCGCUCGAACCACAUCUCCUGAGAUAUUUCGAGAAAGAUGCACCCUGUUUACUUGGGCACCGCUCAAUUGGACACCGUUCUUUUGGACACCGUUCACUUGGACACGAAGAGAUGCGCACUGUUCACUUGGACAUAGAAAGAUGCGCUCUGUUAACUUAAACACCAUUUAUUUGGACAACGUUCAUUUGGACACUGUUUAUUCGACACCGUUCACUUCGACAGCGUUUAUUUGGACACGAAAAAAUGCGCACUGUUCUCUUGGACACAGAAAGAUGCGCUCUGUUCACUUGUAUACCGUUCACUUGGACACCGUUCAAUUGAACACAAAAAGACAUGCGUCACUUAAGAUGCUUAAAAUAUAUGCAAUUUGUUUCAAUUAUGUAAUAAAUUUUAUUAUGUAAUAAAUAAAAAUAAAUAUAGAAUAUAAUUUAAAAAAUUUAUAACAU
rnacentral:misc_RNA from 1 species